GGCGAGAGGGCCUUCCCCGCUGAUGGUGAAGUGGUCAAGCGAACGCGGAGCACGGAGAAGGGCGCCGGCGACGUCGCCGUAAAUGAGCACCUCGAGGGGCCUCGUCCCCCUCCAGCCUAAACCAGCUGCUGCCCAGCCCACCACACAGCUCCGGAGGCAGCUUUUCUCCUCGGCCCCAGGAGCGCCUCCUCCUGUCUUGGGUCCUCUUUCCUGGAACCUGCCGUCUUCCUCUUGGUUCACCGCCCUGCUUUGCUGAAGUGGGUCUCUACAGGGCCCGAAGGGACUGAACCCAAGCCGCACCUUGAACAUUUGCAGACACUGAUCCACCCACUUGGGCCGUCUCGGACUCCAAAAGACCAAGCAUUUGCUGGAACCUGGCCCCCUCAAGCCCCGUCCUGCAGCCCCACGCCGUGGCCCACUGCAGACACAGGCACCCCUUUGCUUUCCUGUACGCCUGAGGACACAGUGAGGCCCCCAGUCAAUCCGUUGCACCGACCCUGGGACCCCAACAGGUCCCGACGUCUUGGGAAACUUGGAGCAUCCCUCGUGGGAGAUCCCUUCCCGCUGCUUUCAGGACCACUGCAGCGUCCUUUUUGGCUGUAUGGGAGCAGUGGAGUAAUCAGCACGAUUCUGAAGAAGUGAGCCUGGAAAAAGAAUUGCCAGGGAGAUGCUGCGCUGGCCACAAGGGCCUGCUCCAUGCUGGUUGUGCGCAGGUGUCCCAGCAGGGCCAGAGGGAGCCCGGCUGAGUGAGGGCAGUGUCAGGACAGUGUCCCAGCCAUGGAGGCUCAGCCGGUGGCCCAGAGCUAGGAACUGCAGGAGAGAGAUGAUCCACUGCUGCUCCUGUGUGUUUUCUUUUUUUUUUUCUUUUUUUUUGGGGGGUUACUGGGAAUCGAACUCAGGACCUUACCCUUGCCAUGCAGGCACUGUGCCCCUGGGCUACAUCCCCGGCCCUCUCUCCUGUGGUUAUGCACAAGAGGGGACAGGGAAAGGGCGGGGGCAGGCGGAGGCGGUUCCUUGGGGCUGGAGAGCACAGCCUCAGCCCUGCCACCUGGCCUCCGUGCCUAGGGGAGGCUGGUGGGGCCAGGGCAGCUGGGGUUUGCAGUCUCUGCCUGGGGUGCUGGUGGGGAAGCUGUCUGGAGGGGCCCAGUGCAGCGGCCCAAGGGGACAGGGUGGCCAGGAUGGGCCCUGAUGUAGGACCAGUCAGAAUCGGCGCCCCUGGGGAAGUGGGGAUUCCUGGCUGCCCUCAAAACCACCAUGGAUACAGCCGGGCGUGGUGGCACACACCUGUAACCCCAGCACUCGGGAGGCCGACACAGGAGGAUCGUUGCAAGUUCAA